AUUGAACGCUGGCGGCAUGCCUUACACAUGCAAGUCGAACGGCAGCGGACCUUCGGGUGCCGGCGAGUGGCGAACGGGUGAGUAAUAUAUCGGAACGUACCUUUCAGUGGGGGAUAACGUAGCGAAAGUUACGCUAAUACCGCAUAUUCUGUGAGCAGGAAAGCAGGGGAUCGCAAGACCUUGCGCUGAUUGAGCGGCCGAUAUCAGAUUAGCUAGUUGGUGAGGUAAAGGCUCACCAAGGCGACGAUCUGUAGCGGGUCUGAGAGGAUGAUCCGCCACACUGGAACUGAGACACGGUCCAGACUCCUACGGGAGGCAGCAGUGGGGGAAUAUUGGACAAUGGGGGCAACCCUGAUCCAGCCAUGCCGCGUGUGUGAAGAAGGCCUCGGUUGUAACGCUUCUGCCGGAAGAAUACGCCGUUUUAAUUACUAGACGGUGGAGUGACGGUACCGGAACGGAAGAAGACACCGGCGUAACUACGUA
rnacentral:rRNA from 1 species